CAAACUUAUUUGAAAGACAAAGAAUUCACCAGGAGAAGGGGAAGAGGGAACACCUGACCUGAAGCAUCCAAACUGCACCUCAGGAACAGGUUAUGCGAUGUAAGCAUGUCUCAUCAAACCUGGACUUCUGUGUUACUUUGCACAUUCCUAGUAGAACACUGCCUAAAUGGCUGUGGGUAAAACACAGAGUGGGGCCAAUGAAGACAUCAAAAACGGCAAACAACAAAAGUGGGGGCAAAACUUAAGUAUUGAUAAUAUAUUUUUUUAAUUUAGGACGACUAUUGGUUUUUCAGAAAGAGAACCAUAAUGAACAUAUGAGUCCAGAGAAGAAACUACACAAACAUCCCAAGUCUAAGAUGCUCUAAGAACAUUCCAGAAUCAUGCAUGGCUCAUUAGUUUGCACUUUCUUAAAUAUACCAAGCUCUAAUGCUAUAGAAUACGUAUUAACAUAAAAAAAUAUGAGUAUAGGAACUUUCAAGUAUCCCUAGCUAAAAAUGGAAAAACAGAACAAAACAAAACAACAACAA
rnacentral:lncRNA from 1 species